rnacentral:tRNA from 1 species
GGUGAGAUGGCUCAGUGGAUAAGAGCACCCGACUGCUCUUCUGAAGGUCCGGAGUUCAAAUCCCAGCAACCA